rnacentral:rRNA from 1 species
UACAGACGGGGCAAGCGUUGUUCGGAAUUACUGGGCGUAAAGGGCGCGUAGGCGGCCUGUUAAGUCGAACGUGAAAUCCCCGGGCUCAACCCGGGAACUGCGUCCGAUACUGGCAGGCUUGAAUCCGGGAGAGGGAUGCGGAAUUCCAGGUGUAGCGGUGAAAUGCGUAGAUAUCUGGAGGAACACCGGUGGCGAAGGCGGCAUCCUGGACCGGCAUUGACGCUGAGGCGCGAAAGCCAGGGGAGCAAACGGG